UUAUUAUUUAUUGUACAUAUACUUCAUCCAUACCUUAUAGAUAUAUAGUUCACUAUGGAAUAUCUCAUCCAUUUCGCUCGUUGUUAGUGUCACACUAACAUCAAUUAUACUUGGUUUUGUUCCUUUGUGUAGAAACAUUAUGAAGAAGCCCAAAAGGAAUGGAACAUAUCAUAGGCUCAAGGAGUAGCACUAGCAGCAAUAUUUGCUUUGAAAAGAAGAUCCAUGAUGAUGAUGAUGUUCAGUACUUGACAGCUUCAUGAAAGUUAGGAAUUUGUUUGAAGCUUCUAAUAUAUGUAAGAAAGGAAGCACUUAUGUAAAUUUCUACUUCAAUUAUUUUUUUGCCUCCUAUUAGGCUUUAAUUUGCUUAACAUAGGGUAUAAGCAUAGAGAUAAUAUAUAAUUUUGGGGUUGAUAUGAUAAAUGUGGGAUAGGAUAUUAGUAGGAUAAGUUUUUAUCAGAGUGUUUUGUUGAUGAUAUUAUAUUAUCAUAUCCUUGAAGAUGAGAUAAUAGCAAGAUAUAAUAUAAAUUAUGUGUGAACAUCGAUAG